GGCUAAUACAUGCAAGUCGAACGGUCAGUAGCAAUACUGAUAGUGGCGCACGGGUGCGUAACGCGUAACCAACCUACCCGAAUCUGGGGGAUAGCCCGCCGAAAGGCGGAUUAAUACCGCAUAAAACUGCAGCACGGCAUCGUGUAACAGUUAAAGAUUUAUUGGAUUCGGAUGGGGUUGCGUGCCAUUAGCUAGUUGGGGAGGUAACGGCUCACCAAGGCGACGAUGGCUAGGGGAGCUGAGAGGCUGGUCCCCCACACGGGCACUGAGAUACGGGCCCGACUCCUACGGGAGGCAGCAGUAGGGAAUAUUGGGCAAUGGACGAGAGUCUGACCCAGCCAUGCCGCGUGCAGGAUGAAGGCUUUCUGAGUCGUAAACUGCUUUUAUCAGGGAAGAAAAAAGGGGAUGCGUCCUCUACUGACGGUACCUGAUGAAUAAGCACCGGCUAACUCCGUGCCAGCAGCCGCGGUAAUACGGAGGGUGCAAGCGUUGUCCGGAUUUAUUGGGUUUAAAGGGUGCGUAGGCGGUUCUUUAAGUCCGGGGUGAAAGCCCACUGCUCAACAGUGGAACUGCCCUGGAAACUGGCGAACUUGAGUACAGACGAGGGUGGCGGAAUGGAUACUGUAGCGGUGAAAUGCAUAGAUAGUAUCCAGAACCCCGAUUGCGAAGGCAGC
rnacentral:rRNA from 1 species